AAAACUCGCUAAUGAUGUGGAUGGUUUAACUUCUCACUCCAAUGUCCCAGACCGAACAGCAACUCCAUCUGGAACUCAAGGACAUAACGAAAACGCAGUGGAUGUUGAAGUAAAUAGACUUUUCGCAAGCUAUGGAGCAGAAGCCAGCAGGAGACCUUUAAGUCUUCGUAGUCGUUCUGCAAGACAUCGCAGUAGCUUCACAAGAGUUUUCUGCUGCUUAAGUAGCAUAACACAAAGUGUUGCACCAACUAAAUUUGAAAGGGAGGAACUGGAAGCUGCAGGACUAGGAGAGAAAAAAGUUACGUUUCUUGGUGAUGAAAAUAAUGCAGAAGAUUUCAAAGACUACAUUCUAACUACAUAUCCAAAACUUGGUAACUGUGGGGG